rnacentral:lncRNA from 1 species
UUCAGAUGCAAAAUGGCUUUCAAGAUGUCCGAUAAUUUGCUGUCAGCAAUUUACAUCCUGAAGAAAAGUUAAAAAUCUUAAAUUUCAUGAAAAGAUUUGGGAAAGUGUCCUUGUGUCUCAUGAUCGGUGGUAUUUAUCCAGUUACGAAAAGAAUUCCUUUCAAAGUUGCGAGUAAUUUACAUUCUUUCUUUUCGGCAUUUAUGAAACUAAAAGGAAUAUCGAAAGAAGAAAAAGUCUGCAGCAAUACAACAAACUUGCACUGAGUCGUAAAAAUUCGCCCUUUAAGCAUUGCAUUUAUGUAUCAGUAUUUUAAAAAUUGAAUAAAGUUA